rnacentral:rRNA from 13 species
CACAGACAGCUAGGAGGUUGGCUUAGAAGCAGCCAUCCUUUAAAGAAAGCGUAAUAGCUCACUAGUCGAGUCGGCCUGCGCGGAAGAUAUAUCGGGGCUAAACUGAUAACCGAAGCUGUGGAUGCGUACUUUGUACGUGUGGUAGAGGAGCGUUCUGUAAGCCGUUGAAGGUGAAUCGUAAGGUUUGCUGGAGGUAUCAGAAGUGCGAAUGCUGACAUGAGUAACGAUAAUGGGGGUGAAAAACCUCCACGCCGGAAGACCAAGGGUUCCUGCGCAACGCUAAUCGGCGCAGGGUGAGCCGGCCCCUAAGACGAGCCCGAAGGGGGUAGUCGAUGGGAACCACGUUAAUAUUCGUGGGCCAGGAGGAUGUGACGGAUCAUGAAGGUUGUUCACUCUUAUUGGAUUGAGUGGGCCGCUAAUUGGUUCCUGGAAAUAGCCCUCCAUCAGACCGUACCCUAAACCAACACAGGUGGACUGGUAGAGAAUACCAAGGCGCUUGAGAGAACUAUCUUGAAGGAACUCGGCAAAAUACCUCCGUAAGUUCGCGAGAAGGAGGCCCAGUUCUAAGGCAACUUGGAGCUGGGGGCACAAACCAGGGGGUGGCGACUGUUUACUAAAAACACAGGGCUCUGCGAAGUCGCAAGACGACGUAUAGGGUCUGACGCCUGCCCGGUGCCUGAAGGUUAAAAGGAGGGGUGAGAGCUCUGAAUUGAAGCCCAGGUAAACGGCGGCCGUAACAAUAACGGUCCUAAGGUAGCGAAAUUCCUUGUCGGGUAAGUUCCGACCUGCACGAAUGGCGUAACGACUUCCCCACUGUCUCAACUGGAGGCCCAGCGAAAUUGGAGUGCGCGUGCAGAUACGCGCUACCCGCAGAAGGACGAAAAGACCCCGUGAACCUUUACUGUAGCUUGGCAUUGGGUUUCGAAUAACAUUGCGUAGGAUAGGUGGGAGUUUUUGAUCUGUGCAUUCCGGUGUACAGGGAGACAACCUUGAAAUACCACCCUUUGUUAUUUGGAAUCCUAACCUACUGUCGUUAUCCGGCAGGGGGACAAUGUCUGGUGGGCAGUUUGACUGGGGCGGUCGCCUCCUAAACAGUAACGGAGGCGCACGAAGGUUCCCUCAGGCCGUAUGGAAACCGGCCGUAGAGUGUAAGCGCAUAAGGGAGCUUGACUGUGAGACUUACAAGUCGAGCAGGUACGAAAGUAGGUGUUAGUGAUCCGGUGGUUCCGCGUGGAAGGGCCAUCGCUCAACGGAUAAAAGGUACUCCGGGGAUAACAGGCUGAUACCGCCCAAGAGUUCACAUCGACGGCGGUGUUUGGCACCUCGAUGUCGGCUCAUCACAUCCUGGGGCUGAAGCCGGUCCCAAGGGUAUGGCUGUUCGCCAUUUAAAGUGGUACGCGAGCUGGGUUUAGAACGUCGUGAGACAGUUCGGUCCCUAUCUGCCGUGGACGUUGGAGAUUUGAGGAAAGCUGCUCCUAGUACGAGAGGACCGGAGUGGACGAACCGCUGGUGUUCGGGUUGUGUCGCCAGACGCAUUGCCCGGUAGCUAUGUUCGGAUAGGAUAACCGCUGAAAGCAUCUAAGCGGGAAGCCCCUUCCAAGAUGAGAUCUCCCUGGACCCUUGAGGUCCCUGAAGAGCCGUUCAAGACCAGGACGUUGAUAGGUCGGGUGUGUAAGCGCUGCGAGGCGUUGAGCUAACCGAUACUAAUUGCUCGUGAGGCUUGACU